rnacentral:rRNA from 1 species
UACAGAGGUCUCAAGCGUUGUUCGGAUUCAUUGGGCGUAAAGGGUGCGUAGGUGGCGCGGUAAGUCGGGUGUGAAAUCUCGGAGCUUAACUCCGAAAUUGCAUUCGAUACUGCCGUGCUCGAGGACUGGAGAGGAGACUGGAAUUCCCGGUGUAGCGGUGAAAUGCGCAGAUAUCGGGAGGAACACCAAUGGCGAAGGCAGCUCGCUGGGACGGUACUGACGCUGAGGCGCGAAAGCGUGGGGAGCAAACAGGG